CUGACGGCCACUUUGUUCUAAACACACCCACCCGCCUUGCCUUCACUUGACUAGUGCAGUUCAUAGACCUGGGAUCAGGGUUAUGUAAUGCCAUUGGGCUCCCUGUGGACAUGGGAGGGCCUUGGGGUCAGCUCUCGGAAAAGACACUCCAGUGGGAGAGGGUGAAUGAGGGGCCUCAGUAGGUCCCAGCUGCUGCUUGUGGCCCCCUUUGCGGCCGAGGGUGCACCAUCAAGGCAGAGGUCUGGGUGGGGUGGGGAGCCGGGCCUCACUGAGCACAGGGCGUGGCGAUGGCUUCUAAACCAGUAGCAGCUCCCAGAAGGGUUUUGCUGCUUCCAUUCUAGGAGCCUGCUUAGGGUCACUGACUCUCCGUUCUCACUGGGCCAGGUGUGGUCCGUUUGCUCUCCACUAUUGAGAGGGGCUGCUUGUUUGCGGGGACAGGUUGGGGAGGUGAUGAGGGCUCCCGGGCCCUUGCAGCAGAGCCUUUGAGCAAGUUGACCUUGUGGAGGUGAGACACCCUGGAUUGCGACAGGGCGGACAAGCCUCACCUCACUUGUAGAGGGGAUGCAUCUUCUCUGCAGGGGGCCCAAAUGGACAGCCCUCUUCCUAGAACCUGUCAAGAAUGGUUUGCCUUGGAUAGGAGGGAGAGGUGGAGGAUUGCCUUUGAAAAACAGCGGCACCCCCUCAGCAAGACCGUCCAUCUCUGUUUCUGUCUUGGUCUGAUACGUCGGACUAGGCCAUGGGCUGAGGGAGGAGGCUGGUUGAUGACAUCUCACAGGCCCUGGGAAGCCAGAGGCCUCCCGUUCCUAGGCAGGCCUGUCUUGCUCACCCUUGCAGCUGGGAAGCAGUGGGCAGGGUGGGCUAGACUCUUACCCAGGACCCUCAAAAUGGGCGCUGUGGGGCUGGCUGCCCCCUCCAGAGGUCAGAGGCAAAUUGGUGACCAGUGAAUGUACCAGAGCGGGCAAUGGCAUUACAUGACUGCUAACAGAAACAUGGCAACCAACCAUUUCUUCUCCAAGGAACAUAAAUAGAAGAUGUGCAGACCGGCAGGGGCUAGUGCAGGGGCUGGCUAUGCAUUGGUUUUGAUGCCUCUCAGCUUUGGCUGCCCCCGGGCUGGGGGUCAAAAAACGAGAGCUGAUGAGGUGACCUGGAGUGAGGGCGGUGCUUCGCCACCCCCUUGGGAACCAGACUUCAGCGGCUCUGCCUCUGCACAUUGGUCACCAACACACAGGGUAGAAACCACUAGCUCUUCCUGGAGAGAACAGAACAUGCAGCCUCCACCACGUCCCCAGAAACAGCCGCAGACUUGAGCUCACUACAUCAAGAACACCACACCGCGCUCCAAGGAACAACUACAAGCACAGAGACAGAGGCAGACAGAGACAAAGAGAGAAAGAGACGCAACAUGGCAGCAGACACUGCUUUCUUAUUAAACAUUAAAAAAAAAGUCAAAAUCCAAGCAAACUUGAACCCGAAAAUGUACACAGAAGUAGGAAACACAGAGAACAGAGCUCUCCCAGCCAGCCAGCGGCGCUCUUUUCGGAGAACGUUUCAUAGACUGAAGUAGAUUCCAUGGGCCUCCAAGACAAUAGGAUCCUCUCCAUUCCUCGCCAUUCACCGGCUGCCAACAUAAUCUGCACCAACUGGAGAUCAGAAACCAAAAAAAAAAAAACCAAAACAAAACCACAGCAACAACAACAACAAAAUCAAAAAACCAAAACAGACCUAAAACCAGACAGCCAAACAGCUCAGAGG